rnacentral:rRNA from 1 species
GGGGAAUUUUCCSCAAUGGGCGAAAGCCUGACGGAGCAAUACCGCGUGUGGGAGGAAGGYCCUUGGGUUGUAAACCHCUUUUAUCAGGGAAGAAGCUCUGACGGUACCUGAKGAAUAAGCAUCGGCUAACUCCGUGCCAGCAGCCGCGGUAAUACGGAGGAUGCAAGCGUUAUCCGGAAUCAUUGGGCGUAAAGCGUCCGUAGGUGGUUUGUCAAGUCUGUCGUCAAAGAAUGGAGCUUAACUCCAUAAAGGCGGUGGAAACUGAGAGACUAGAGUUCGGUAGGGGUAGCGGGAAUUCCCAGUGUAGCGGUGAAAUGCGUAGAUAUUGGGAAGAAC